UCUUCAUUUCACGUGCUUUCUCACCGGUCACAGAGGCGAGAGAGUGUGCGAAACAAAGAGA
rnacentral:pre_miRNA from 1 species